GGUAAAUCUCGUGCCAGCCWCCGCGGUUAUACGAAAGACCCUAAUUAAUAGCCACGGCGUAAAGGGUGGUUAAGGAAAAAUCACUAAAUAAAGCUAAAGGGCCCCCAAGCUGUCGCACGCACCCUGGAAGCUCGAGACCCCUACACGAAAGUAGCUUUAAAAUUACCCCGCCUGACCCCACGAAAGCUAAGAAACAAACUAGGAUUAGAUACCCCAC
rnacentral:rRNA from 1 species